rnacentral:rRNA from 1 species
UACGGAAGGUGCGAGCGUUGUCCGGAAUUAUUGGGCGUAAAGAGCUCGUAGGCGGUGUGUCACGUCGGCCGUGAAAACCUGGGGCUUAACUCUGGGCGUGCGGUCGAUACGGGCAUCACUAGAGUUCGGCAGGGGAGACUGGAAUUCCUGGUGUAGCGGUGAAAUGCGCAGAUAUCAGGAGGAACACCGGUGGCGAAGGCGGGUCUCUGGGCCGAGUGACUGACGCUGAGGAGCGAAAGCAUGGGUAGCGAACAGG